rnacentral:rRNA from 1 species
GACGAACGCUGGCGGCGUGCUUAACACAUGCAAGUCGAACGGAAAGGCCCUGCUUUUGUGGGGUGCUCGAGUGGCGAACGGGUGAGUAACACGUGAGUAACCUGCCCUUGACUUUGGGAUAACUUCAGGAAACUGGGGCUAAUACCGGAUAGGAGCUCCUGCUGCAUGGGGGGGGUUGGAAGGUUUCGGCGGUUGGGGAUGGACUCGCGGCUUAUCAGCUUGUUGGUGGGGUAGUGGCUUACCAAGGCUUUGACGGGUAGCCGGCCUGAGAGGGUGACCGGCCACAUUGGGACUGAGAUACGGCCCAGACUCCUACGGGAGGCAGCAGUGGGGAAUAUUGCACAAUGGGCGGAAGCCUGAUGCAGCAACGCCGCGUGCGGGAUGACGGCCUUCGGGUUGUAAACCGCUUUCGCCUGUGACGAAGCGUGAGUGACGGUAAUGGGUAAAGAAGCACCGGCUAACUACGUG